rnacentral:snRNA from 1 species
CAACUUACCUGGACGGGGUCAUUUGCGGUGAUCAAGAAAGCUGAUAGCCUAGUGUGGCUUCCCUCUUUGCAGGGUGGGUUGCCUUAGCAUCUCCCCAACUUCGAGAAUGCACAUCAUAUUUAC